rnacentral:rRNA from 1 species
UUGGGAGCUCUCCCNUAUGGUCGACCUGCAGGCGGCCGCGAAUUCACUAGUGAUUAGAGUUUGAUCCUGGCUCAGAUUGAACGCUGGCGGCAGGCCUAACGCAUGCAAGUCGAACGGUAACAGGAAGCAGCUUGCUGCUUUGCUGACGAGUGGCGGACGGGUGAGUAAUGUCUGGGAAACUGCCUGAUGGAGGGGGAUAACUACUGGAAACGGUAGCUAAUACCGCAUAACGUCGCAAGACCAAAGAGGGGGACCUUAGGGCCUCUUGCCAUCGGAUGUGCCCAGAUGGGAUUAGCUAGUAGGUGGGGUAACGGCUCACCUAGGCGACGAUCCCUAGCUGGUCUGAGAGGAUGACCAGCCACACUGGAACUGAGACACGGUCCAGACUCCUACGGGAGGCAGCAGUGGGGAAUAUUGCACAAUGGGCGCAAGCCUGAUGCAGCCAUGCCGCGUGUAUGAAGAAGGCCUUCGGGUUGUAAAGUACUUUCAGCGGGGAGGAAGGGAGUAAAGUUAAUACCUUUGCUCAUUGACGUUACCCGCAGAAGAAGCACCGGCUAACUCCGUGCCAGCAGCCGCGGUAAUACGGAGGGUGCAAGCGUUAAUCGGAAUUACUGGGCGUGAAGCGCACGCAGGCGGUUUGUUAAGUCAGAUGUGAAAUCCCCGGGCUCAACCUGGGAACUGCAUCUGAUACUGGCAAGCUUGAGUCUCGUANAGGGGGGUAGAAUUCCNNGUGUAGCGGUGAAAUGCGUANAGAUCUGGGAGGAAUACCGGUGGGCGAAGGCNGCCCCCUGNACNAAGACUGANNCUCAGGUGCGAAAGCGNNGGGGANNAAACAGGAUUAGAUACCCUGGNUANUC